UACGUAGGGGGCAAGCGUUGUCCGGAAUCAUUGGGCGUAAAGCGCGUGUAGGCGGUUCAGUAAGUCUGCUGUGAAAGUCCAGGGCUCAACCCUGGGAUGCCGGUGGAUACUGCUGGGCUAGAGUACGGAAGAGGCGAGUGGAAUUCCCGGUGUAGCGGUGAAAUUCGUAGAUAUUCGGAAGAACACCAGUGGCGAAGGCGACUCACUGGACACAUAUUGACGCUGAGGUGCGAAAGCGUGGGGAGCAAACAGG
rnacentral:rRNA from 1 species